rnacentral:rRNA from 1 species
UACGUAGGGUGCGAGCGUUGUCCGGAAUUAUUGGGCGUAAAGAGCUUGUAGGCGGUUUGUCGCGUCUGCUGUGAAAAUCCGGGGCUCAACCCCGGACUUGCAGUGGGUACGGGCAGACUAGAGUGUGGUAGGGGAGACUGGAAUUCCUGGUGUAGCGGUGAAAUGCGCAGAUAUCAGGAGGAACACCGAUGGCGAAGGCAGGUCUCUGGGCCACUACUGACGCUGAGAAGCGAAAGCGUGGGGAGCGAACAGGAUUAGAUACCCUUGUAGUCC